rnacentral:ribozyme from 14 species
AAAGUGGAAAAAAUGGUUCAGGCUAAUGCUACCUCUGCUCAUGCCAUUUGCAUUUUUCUUUCUUUUCUUUUCCUUUUCCUCCCCCUCCCCCCUUCUUUUUCUUCUUUU